UACGAAGGGGGCUAGCGUUGUUCGGAUUUACUGGGCGUAAAGCGCACGUAGGCGGAUCGUUAAGUCAGGGGUGAAAUCUCGGAGCUUAACUCCGAAACUGCAUUCGAUACUGCCGUGCUUGAGGACUGGAGAGGAGACUGGAAUUUACGGUGUAGCGGUGAAAUGCGUAGAUAUCGUAAGGAAGACCAGUGGCGAAGGCGGGUCUCUGGACAGUUCCUGACGCUGAGGCACGAAGGUCAGGGGAGCAAACGGG
rnacentral:rRNA from 1 species